rnacentral:lncRNA from 1 species
GUUUGGACAGCCCUCGUGAGGUUGCCGCCCAUAAACAAAAUGCACUCUUCCUCCUCCCCUCCGCGGCUCCUCCCCUAACUGCCCCUUCUCUCAUCUCUGUCAUCUUUGAUUGGCCUAGGAGACACCCAAUCCGCUAUCUCAAGCAUCAACUGGUGAGCGGAAACUUCACUCAGAGCAGUUUUAACAGUCUAUUGGUCAAUGUUCUCAACUCUUCCCGCCCACCAGCGCCCUGUGUAGAGAGGCCAGCUGUCUCUGGUUAUUCAGUGAUCCAAGAGCUGGGAAACUAUUGGUCGACAGAGGCCGUCAGACCGGACUGUAGUGAUCGGUGAUUGAAAAAUACCGUGUAAAACCGUCUGCAGAGAGCCGCCCUUAAUAUCAAUGAGGAUUUAUUAUCCUACCGGAAAAAGCAGAUUAUGUUUCUUAUUACUAAACGCCUGAAGUACUGACGACCCAACUGAAGCCCACAAAAUUCAAUAUCCUGGGAGCUAGAAGGAAUAAAGCAACACGGAAAAUUAAGUCUUGGAUCCCCCAGUCAUUCAUAAAGACCAGCACCAACGUCUUCCAAAUGCCUAUUCCUGUUUCUAUUUUGACUUCUUCUCAUCAAUCAUAAGUAAUGUCAAUGGAAUCUAGAGUGCUUGUUCUGGAUUCAAGGAGCUAGAAGGACCCAGUAGUAGGUUCUACAAUGAAUGUGUAGUUACUCGGUGAGUCUAUUUUUGUCUUUGUCUUUGAGUAUCUCCUGCAGUUCAGAGUUCUAAGAGAUAUGGUAGGAGGACUUCUUAGCUUUGAGAGAAGUAAGAUCUGAUCUGUGAUGAAAUAUGCUGCUUUCCUGGGCUGCUUCCCCACGUUAGUAUGCAGUAUGGAGCAGUGUGGGUAUAACAGUAAACAUCUAGCUGGAUAAUAAUAUCCAGCAUAAUAGAGGCAAGAUGGCCACAGCAGAAUGUACUUCUGUUUCUUACUCUAUUGUCCACAGUGGAACCCUGGAGAUGCUGUUUCUGGUAUCAACGGAGAAAUCAGCUACAACAACGGAGGAAAUCAACUCAAACAGUUGCUCCCUCAUCAUGGACUCAAACCCUCUAAAAUCUGAAUACACAAUGAUGAACAACGAAGAGAUUGCUUUGUACAUGGUGGAAGGUGAAACUAACACUUGAGGGUAACCUCUGAUCCCUUUUCACUUUUCUGGAGAGUACCCAAGAGCAAUGGCAAUGGUGAUGUCAUUGUUUAACAACUCCAAUAAAUGGAAGCCAUUCUGACUCUUUGGUGUGGAGACUAAUAGAGACAUUGUUGCUUCAUUAUGGCUGAAAACUAAUUUUACCUUAAAGGUGGAUCGUGUGAAUGCCCAGGAACACUGUAAUAAAAGUGUGACAAUGGAAACAGAAGAUGUGAAUACAACCGAGGCAGACUCUUCAUCAAUGAAAGCAGCUACAGAGUCAAUAAAUUACCAGUGGGGAGCCCUCGGGUAUCAUCAGUAUAUCAAAUCUGCAUGUCUUAAAGAGAUAAAAGAAAUAAAGCAAGCCUAUCAGCUACUAGAGUAGAACUUUGAAUAUUAACUCUGAACUUUUUUUGAAAGAAGGGUCAUGUAAUGUGCAGCAAGGUGCUUAUAAUGAUUUCACAGUCUGUCACCCUCUACCCAUACCUGUACCCACACUUUUUGCCAUCAUAAGCUUUGAUGAGAAUUAAUAGACUCUGCAGCUGUCUUCAUGGAGACUUGAGGGAGAAUGGUCAAUGAUUGGUCCAGACACAGUCCUUUAUCUUCAUGAAGGACUGAUAGAUUGGUGCAGACACUCUCGCCAUAUCUUCCUUCUGUCUGAACAGACAGAACCCUUCUGUGCUGUCCCCUGAUGCUACAACAUUAGGCCCUGAUUAAAGACAUUUUUUGAGUUGUGAUGAAAGACUUGGACAGCUUAACAAAUAGGGAGGUUAAGGAGUAUAGAACACACUGAGGAACAAACAAAUCCCCUUGCUAAGUCACUCAUGGAGAGACGUCUCAGAUCCUGAGUCUCCCUGGGCUAUUGCUUACUGAUAUGGAUUGAAUCAUUAAUGCUUGGUGAGUGGAGACUCCUCACAGCAAAGGGAGCAAAGCCAGCAAUGGGGAGAUGGGCCGACGAGCAUCUCAGGAUGAUACGUUGAGCAAACUGGCCGAGCAUCAUCUCGAGCUCUGUUGGUAAUCAUGGAGAGGCCCAAGAUGAAGGCAGCUGAACAAAAGAGUUGUGAGUGCUAACAAGCACAGCCUCAAGUUCAUGAAUGACGAGCUGUUUUCUCUUCACUUUAAAUUACCAGGUGAGCCCACACAUUCUUUCUCUGGAUUCUCUCCCUUUGGUAAGGCCUAUUAAGAUAAAUCAUGCGUCAAGUUAUAUAUAAGACUCAGAAGUAUGAUUCUUUACUGGCAAGGAAGUAUCCUUUAGGUUUACUCCCAUUAUUCUAUUUGUCAAGUAAGGUUGCUGGGAAUCUUUGAAUUCAGUAACUAUAAAUCCAAUUCAAACUAAACUAAAACCAGGGAAUAUCACUGGGUCAACUAGCAGAGUAUAGGGAAAAGAAUGGCUUCAGGAAAAGCUGCUCUAAGGACUCAAAUGAGGUUUCUACAUUGUGUUUUUCUUUCUUUUAUUGGUGAUACAGUUGCCAACAGGUCCAGGGAACUAUUUUAUAGCUUCAGAAACUCUGGCCCCUCUAGAAAAAUGUUCAGACUAGCUUAGAUUGGUGGUCAUAUCAGCUUGUGCAUUUCCCUGAGCUGUUCACUGUAGCCAGGGAAGGUGGGGCUCUGAUUACCUCAGCUUGAGAGCCUUUCAACAGCAUGUGGAAGAUCAGCAGUAAAGAAGUAUGCUUUCUAAAGAAUACCAGGGGUAGAGAAAAAUUUUCCUGCAACUCAUGAGGUAAGCUGUUAGUCAAAAAUAGAACAGAUCCCACCAAGAGCAAUAGGUAGUAGAGCCCCAACCCCUCUCCUUACUGCAGGCUUUCUACUUUCAAGCUUGUUAGCCCCUUCUAGGCAGACAAUCAAGACUUGGAUUGAGUUGAAGUUGAUCCAGACUCAUUCUUUCUCUAGGUUUGCUUUCACCACUCCUUGAUUUCAUUUUCAGAAUGAUUUCUACCCACACAUGGCGUAGAGCAAGAAGUUAGUGCUUCUGAAAAGAAAACUCAUCUACUGUAUUUCAACUCUAGCACAUGCACCUCCCAUGCCUACACACAUUCCAAAGUUUCUUUAGAGAAAGAGAAACGGAAGUCUCUGAACAAUCACUGGUUCUUGAAAGGAAACCCUGGCGGAAAGUUGGGAAAAAAACUGUAUCAGAUAGAGAAAAUGAAUAGAUGGAUGGAAAACCUUAAGCUGCUUCUGGAUGAGACAGAAAAGGCAACAACUCAUCCACAGCGCUCUGGAGGGGCAGCGCAAAGCACUUUAAUCUUUGAUGAAUGUGAUUGGACUCUUUCCGCUACUCAAGAAAGACUGAAGUGUUCACGAGGGCUCAUCCUGAGCUGGCUCCCUGCCACAGUCGACCUUGGACUCCGCAUAAUUAUCAAUCUUUUAUAGUCUACUUCCACUAUUUUAAAAAGCUUCAUUUUGACAAGAAAGUCUGAUAGAGACACGUGUGGUAAGUAAAGCCUAGUAUUUGGAAUUAAGACACUGGAGUGGAGCCAGGAGUUUGUGAUGGGCACUGCAUUAGUGGACAGCUGAGUAUCCCCCUGUGUUUUUAUUAUCAGGAGGCACAAAGUAAAGGAAGCUGGAAAAAUCAAGUUGUGAAUGCUAAUAAGCACACCCGUGUGUUCAUGAACUUGGGUAACUGAUCAGCAGUUUCCCUGAGCCACCGAUGUUUGUUCUACUCUUUCAUCAGUCAGGAAAUCCAUUCCAAGAGUGCCUCCUAACUAUAUUGUCCAGUUAUCAUGGAGGAUGUCCAUGGACGAGCAUAUGAUAUUACAGAUGCACCUAUGUUAUAAUGGAAGCUAAUAGAGCAUUUCCCUUUGGAUCAAUAUGGAAGACACUUUCUGGUUAGUUAUGAUGUUUUAUCUCUUAAUAUGGUGGUACGAUACUAAGUUCACUUGAAAGGUUGAAAACACUUCUCAUCCACACAGCUAGAGUGAUCAAUAUCUUAAUGAUUAAAUCUAAGAACAUUGCCUACUAUCUAUAACUGAUAGAACAAUUGGAUGGCAGAUCUAGAGCAGAGAGGACCCGGAGAAAGAAACCAGCAUAGAUCUGGGCCUAUCACAAAUUACUUAACUUAAUGUGUAUUAGUAAGUUCUCCAUUGCUGCCACAAAUAGCUGACAACCUGAAAAAAAACCCAACUUGUUGGUGGAACGAUUUAUUUUGGUUCCUGAUUCCAAAGGCUUCAGUCUAUGAUUAUAUGGAUCCAUUGCUUCUGGACUUGUGAUGAGGGGGGAAAAAAAGAAAGAAAGAAAGAAAAAGAAAAAGAAAAAAGUCACAGUGGAGAGCAAAGGAACUCACCUCAAGAUAGAGAGGUAUAGAUAGGUAGAUAGACAGAUAGAUAAUAGGUAGGUAGGUAGAUAGACAGAUGGAUAAUAGGUAGAUAGGUAGGUAGACUGAUGGAUAAUAGGUAGGUAGGUAGGUAGACAGAUGGAUAAUAGGUAGAUAGGUAGAUAGACAGAUGGAUAAUAGGUAGGUAGGUAGGUAGAUAGAUCAAGGGGGUCUAAUUAGGAGAAGAAAAGGGACAUUCUAAGGCAGGUUCCCAGUGACCUAUUUCCUCCAUAGGCCUACUUCAUUGUCUUAAUUAGAGUUUCUAUUGCUAGGACAAAACACCAUGCCUAUGAGCAACUUGGUGGGGAAAAGGCUUAUUUCUACUUACAAUUCUCAGGUCAUACUGCUGAGUCAGUACAGGAACUCCGGAUAGGAAGGAACCUGAAGGCAGGAAGUGAAACAGGAGCCAUGGAAGAGUGCUGCUUAGUAGAUUUAUCUUCAUGGCUUGCUCAUUUUACUUUGUUAUACAACUCCAGGACCACCUAUCUAGUGGAGGCACUACUCACAAUAGGCUGGGACCUCCCUCAGCCAUUAUUAAAAAAAAGAAAAUCCCCACAGAUCACUCUGGCAGGGCAUUUUCUAAAUGGAUAUCUUUUCUUCCAAAAUGACUCUAGCCUGUGUCAAGUUGAUGUAAGAACUAGCCAGCAUACUCCUAAAGUUUCUACUACCUCCUAAUAAUACCAUCAGACUAAGAGUCCAUCGGCUGACACAAUAGAUGACUUUUGAAUCACUUUCCAAAGGGCUCACUUCUGAACACUGCUUCCCUGGGUACCGAGCCUUCAAUACUUGAAUUUUAAGGGGACUCUUCAUAGUUAAAUCAUAACACUGUGGAUGCUGACUUUUUUCAGAGAUGUAUGGGUGGUCAUUUUGCUAGUUGUCUAUUUAGAUAUUAGCAGGCUUGAAAGGACAAUAGAGAUGGACCUGGCUCUCAUAACCAACAGUUUAUAAAACCAAGGCCUAGAUUGCAGGACUUGAAUACUCCAGUUACACUGGUCAGAUAAAUGGAACCUCAAUUAUAAUUUCAGCUCUAAGAGGCUUUGUGACAUCUUGACUUUUCUGAGUGGUCACUAACUGGUAACAAUCCAAAUCAGACUAUAGGAUGCUUAAGCCUUACAAGAUUGUAUAGGAGGCUUUCUGAUAAAAAAACAAAACCAGUCUAAGGAUAUAACAUGACCCAUUUAGUUAAUUCAAGUCAGCUUGUCAAUCACCUAGACAGGAAAAUAUCCUCCAGAAAAGCUAUCUGAUUCAGAGACUUUACAUAUAGUUUGAAAUCUGCCUGAACUGUAUAUUGGGGGCAAUCUAAUGGUCUCUUCGGGCAUCAUUCACUCGCUCCUCUUGACAGUACUUCACUUAACUCUGUAAUAAACUAUCUUUUACUUUUAUAACAAAGUUCCAGUGCCAGGAAGAAUUUGAAGGAGUGUAGAGCUAUAGUCAAGAGAAACACUGAACUAUUACGCAUGAAGACUUAAAGGAACACUUUGGUGGCAGUGCAGAAGACCAGGAUUCAGGCAUUAAAGUGGAAUAUGAAAAUCCAAAGCCAGUAGAAGGAAGACAAUAACGAAGGUGUUAAGAGAAUUUAAUGAAAUCGAAAAUCAAC